rnacentral:rRNA from 1 species
UCACCAAGGAUGCCAGCCGCCGCGGUAUAUCGGGAACCUAGAAUGUAGACUGGGAUAAUCCUCCGGGAAACCGGGGCUAAUACCGGAUGCUUCGUUUGAACCGCAUGGUUCAAACAUGAAAGGUGGCUUCGGCUACCACUUACAGAUGGACCCGCGGCGCAUUAGCUAGUUGGUGAGGUAACGGCUCACCAAGGCAACGAUGCGUAGCCGACCUGAGAGGGUGAUCGGCCACACUGGGACUGAGACACGGCCCAGACUCCUACGGGAGGCAGCAGUAGGGAAUCUUCCGCAAUGGACGAAAGUCUGACGGAGCAACGCCGCGUGAGUGAUGAAGGUUUUCGGAUCGUAAAGCUCUGUUGUUAGGGAAGAACAAGUGCCGUUCAAAUAGCGCGGCACCUUGACGGUACCUAACCAGAAAGCCACGGCUAACUACGUGCCACCAGCGGCGUAA